UACAGAGGGGGCAAGCGUUAUUCGGAAUUAUUGGGCGUAAAGGGCGCGUAGGCGGCUUUGCAAGUGACGGGUGAAAUCCCUCGGCUUAACCGAGGAACUGCCUGUCAAACUGCAUGGCUUGAGACCGGGGAGAGGUGAGUGGGAAAUUCCCAGUGUAGCGGUGAAAAUGCGUAGGAUAUUCGGAAGAACACCAGUGGCGAAGGCGGACUCACUGGACUGGGUAUUGACGCUGAGGUGGCGAAAGCGUGGG
rnacentral:rRNA from 1 species